GAUCGGCGCGGCGGCGGGCUCCAGGGACGGGGAUUUCAUCCCGGCCGUCACGCUAAAGCCCUGGCUGAACCCUGCGCGCGUGCAGCAGAGGCGGGGAGGGCGCUGGCGGUUCACGAGGCGAGGCGACGGCGAGGUGGGGUGUGUGCCGGCCUGCGGUGCGCGGAUCGGCAGCGGGUGGCCGGGGUUUUUGGUGGCUUCUACCGGCGGUGGGGCUCUCGUGGGUUCUCCGUGUGAGGGGUGUGAGCACGGGGUGGCGACGAGGGAGGGAGGGAGGAACGGACGGACAGGUGCGGCCGCGCCGUUGCGGGAGGGCCCCUCCCCGCGUUGGCCGUUGGAUCUGGCGCGUCCGUCUCGGUGCUCGGGAGAGUUCCGCUCCAGCCGUCACGUCGCCUCGAGAGAGCCCGGCUAGCUGGACCCUGGACUGGACUGGACUUCUAGGCUCCCCGAGGAGGUUUUUGGAGUGCGUACUACUACACAGGAAAGGGCAGAUGGGAUAAAAUACUUCAAUCAGUACUAGUCUGCUACAGUAUUUGAGAAAAUAAGCUAAAUAAUACUAAGUGUCUCUUACAUUUUUUAUGAUAACUUUUAAAAGGUGAUUAAAAAUUGUCUUCCGAAUAGGAAGUUAUCAUGCUUGACAACUAAAAUUAUCAUCCUCGCGUCACUAAAUUGUCACUUAAAACGUUCGAAGUCGACAUGUGUUUGUGUGGCAAUUAUCAAGACGCUAAGAAAAGACCUUCAUUUUAUUUUUAAGUGGGCCCGUCUGUAAGGGUUUGGUUGAGUCAUGGGUUUCAUAUAACAGUAUCAAAACCGACAUUCACUUAAACUUUAAAAUCUUUUAAAACAUUCAUAAGUUUGAAUUUUAUGAACUUUGAAAAAAAACAUUCUAAACUUAAAAAAUGCUCAUAAAUUUCAAAACUCUUCACGAAUAAGGAAAAGUAUAUUCAGGAGUUAUAGAAUUGUUCAUGUUUUUUUAAAGGUCACGAAUUUAAGAGAAACCUUCACGGAUUUAUGAAAUGUUUGUCAUUUAAGAAUUGUUCACAAAUACGGAAAAAAUCACGAAACUUCAAAAUAUGUUCAUAAUUAAAAAAAUGAUUUUGAAAUUUUUUCUAUAAUUUAAAUAUGAUAAAUAUAAACAAAUCUAAAAAUAAAGAAUAAAACAAAUACAUAGAUGAACAUGAAAAAAACAAUAGAGAUAAAAGAAAAGAAAAAACCCGAAUAAAACCUACCAACAUGGCAAGGAGUGGCCUACACGGCCAACCCAAAUAGCGUCCCUGCAGAUCCGUGUUUGCUCAGCCCCAAUUCCAAAACCCAAAACGACGUGACAAAGCGCACGUUAUCCUCUAGUUUAAUAUCUACUAAGAAAAAUGCCCGUGCGUUGCUAUGGGUCUAGGGACAAUGGUUGAAACGAGCGGUGCGACUUCUGUUUAGUCUAUUUUUUUCAACUUCGAAGCACAUUCUUCCAGAAUUCAGCUACUAAUUGAAAACCGAACUGUGUUUUGUCACCCAUGGUUUAGCAUGCACUUGUAUAAACCGGAAUCAGCAGGGCUCCAAAAUAAUUUAUGUACUUAUUUCAUUCUCGUCUAGGCAUAUAUGGUUCCGCCAUGUGUUUGUGUCACAAUGGGCACAAAGGAUUUAAAUAUUUUGUCAAAAAUGUAGAACUAAACCCAUAAAUUAUUUUUUUUUCUUUGUUUUAAUCC
rnacentral:lncRNA from 1 species